rnacentral:rRNA from 1 species
AUGGAAAUUGACGAGGGGGGCGCUGGCUGUUUCGAUACAAAAUUCAACAAGAAGUACAAAAAUCUUUCUCUUGUUGAAUUUUACUUGCCGAUGGGCAUUUAUUUUGCUGGGAAAAAAAUCUCAAUGACGCGACGAUCAAUGAAUGAAUGCUCAAAAUGCUUUGCUUCACGGGUUCUUCUUCUUGGUGUUUCGUCACGUAUGCAUUCAAUGACGGCGUGUGUAUGGUGCCAUAGCGGCUAUACAGGUUGCGAUCAUCCUAUCCCGCUACAGCCAUCUUCCUUGAAUCUUGACCCAUCGCCCCACCCCCACUUGCCGCUCCCUUGUGAAUUGCGAUCAAUAAAGGGAUUUUUAUUUUCUAGGAUUAAUCAAGGAAAGGCUGAAAUCACUACUUAUGACUUGGGAGUACCCCUUGCAAACAUCAUUCCCAUCUUCGCUAGUGGUGACAAGUGGCGUAUUGUAUGUCGUUUUACCCUUUUUCAUAUAUUUGCUUUUUCAAAAAUGUUUUAUCUCUUGAACCAUGUGUCCAAAUUACAAACUGUUUACAUCAUUGGAUUUCUGGGUGGAAUUGCUUGGAUCUAUUCGCCGUUCGUCUUUGUACGUGCGUCUUCAGGUUGGAUCCUUCUUAUAUACAUUCUUCAUCGGCGGCGGUUGCUGAUCUGGUGCAUUGAGUCUAUGGAGACUUAG